rnacentral:rRNA from 1 species
CGCCUUGCCAGCCCGCUCAGAAACUCAAAGGAAUUGACGGGGGCCCGCACAAGCGGUGGAGCAUGUGGUUUAAUUCGACGCAACGCGAAGAACCUUACCUGGGCUUGACAUCCCGAUCGCACCUUUAUGGAAACAUAGGGGUCAGUUCGGCUGGAUCGGAGACAGGUGCUGCAUGGCUGUCGUCAGCUCGUGUCGUGAGAUGUUGGGUUAAGUCCCGCAACGAGCGCAACCCUUGUCCUUAGUUGCCAUCAUUAGGUUGGGCACUCUAAGGAGACUGCCGGUGUUAAACCGGAGGAAGGUGGGGAUGACGUCAAGUCCUCAUGGCCCUUAUGUCCAGGGCUACACACGUGCUACAAUGGCCGGUACAAAGGGAAGCAAGACCGCGAGGUGGAGCCAAUCCCAAAAAGCCGGUCUCAGUUCGGAUUGGAGUCUGCAACUCGACUCCAUGAAGUUGGAAUCGCUAGUAAUCGUGGAUCAGCAUGCCACGGUGAAUACGUUCCCGGGCCUU